UGGGGGAUAUUGCACAAUGGGCGAAAGCCUGAUGCAGCGACGCCGCGUGGGGGAUGAAGGCUUUCGGGUUGUAAACCUCUUUCGCAAUCGAACAAGGCCCGCUUAGGGUGGGUUGAGGGUAGGUGGAGAAGAAGCGCCGGCUAACUACGUGCAGCAGCCGCGGUAAUACGUAGGGCGCGAGCGUUGUCCGGAAUUAUUGGGCGUAAAGGGAUUGUAGGCGGCGUGUUGCGCCUGCUGUGAAAACGCGGGGCUUAACUUCGCGCGGGCAGUGGGUUGGGGAAGGCUUGGGUGUGGUAGGGGUGAGUGGAGUUCCAGGUGUAGCGGUGGAAUGCGCAGAUAUCUGGAGGGAAGCCGAUGGCGAAGGGAGGUCACUGGGCCAUUACUGACGCUGAGGAGCGGAAGCAUGGGUAGCGAAGAGG
rnacentral:rRNA from 1 species